rnacentral:rRNA from 1 species
CUUAAAGGAAUUGACGGGGCCCGCACAAGCGGUGGAGCAUGUGGUUAAUUCGAAGCAACGCGAAGAACCUUACCAGGUCUUGACAUCCCGAUGCUAUUUCUAGAGAUAGAAAGUUACUUCGGUACAUCGGUGACAGGUGGUGCAUGGUUGUCGUCAGCUCGUGUCGUGAGAUGUUGGGUUAAGUCCCGCAACGAGCGCAACCCCUAUUGUUAGUUGCCAUCAUUCAGUUGGGCACUCUGGCGAGACUGCCGGUAAUAAACCGGAGGAAGUGGGGAUGACGUCAAAUCAUCAUGCCCCUUAUGACCUGGGCUACACACGUGCUACAAUGGUUGGUACAACGAGUUGCGAGUCGGUGACGGCGAGCUAAUCUCUUAAAGCCAAUCUCAGUUCGGAUUGUAGGCUGCAACUCGCCUACAUGAAGUCGGAAUCGCUAGUAAUCGCGGAUCAGCACGCCGCGGUGAAUACGUUCCCGGGCCUU